AACGAACGCUGGCGGCGUGCCUAACACAUGCAAGUCGAACGGAAUGAAGGAGCUUGCUCUUUCAUUUAGUGGCGCACGGGUGAGUAACGCGUAGAUAAUCUGCCUUAGACUCUGGGAUAACAUUUCGAAAGGGGUGCUAAUACCGGAUAAGCCCACGAUGGCGUAAGUCAUUGCGGGAAAAGAGGGCCUCUGCAUAUGCUCUUGAUCUAAGAUGAGUCUGCGUACCAUUAGCUAGUUGGUAGGGUAAGAGCCUACCAAGGCGACGAUGGUUAGCUGGUCUGAGAGGAUGAUCAGCCACACUGGAACUGAGACACGGUCCAGACUCCUACGGGAGGCAG
rnacentral:rRNA from 1 species